rnacentral:rRNA from 1 species
CGUAGGGUGCAGGCGUUAAUCGGAAUUACUGGGCGUAAAGCGUGCGCAGGCGGUUUGCUAAGACAGGUGGGAAAUCCCCGGGCUUAACCUGGGAACUGCGCUUGUUACUGGCAGGCUUGAGUGUGGCAGAGGGGGGUGGAAUUCCACGUGUAGCAGUGAAAUGCGUAGAUAUCUGGAGGAACACCGGUGGCGAAAGCGAUUUCCUGGUCCGUUCCUGACGCUGAGGCUCGAAAGCGUGGGGAGCAAACAGG